rnacentral:rRNA from 1 species
UACGUAGGGGGGCAAGCGUUGUCCGGAUUUACUGGGCGUAAAGCGCGCGUAGGCGGAAUGGUAAGCGGGGCCGGAAAGCCCCCCGGCUCAACCGGGGAAGAGGCCGUGAACUGCCAUUCUUGAGGGGGGGAGAGGAGAGCGGAAUUCCUGGUGUAGCGGUGAAAUGCGUAGAGAUCAGGAGGAACACCCAUGGCGAAGGCAGCUCUCUGGCCUCACCCUGACGCUGAGGCGCGAAAGCGUGGGGAGCGAACGGG